rnacentral:rRNA from 25 species
CCAGCGACCCCAGGUCAGGC